rnacentral:rRNA from 1 species
GACGAACGCUGGCGGCGUGCUUAAUACAUGCAAGUCGAACGGAGUUACUUUAGAAGCUUGCUUUUGGAGUAACUUAGUGGCGGACGGGUGAGUAACGCGUGGGCAACCUGCCCUCUAGUCGGGGACAACAGCUCGAAAGGGCUGCUAAAACCGGAUAUGCUCACACCCGGACAUCCGGGAGUGUGAAAAAGCGAUGCUAGAGGAUGGGCCCGCGUUCCAUUAGCUAGUUGGUGAGGUAACGGCCCACCAAGGCGACGAUGGAUAGCCGACCUGAGAGGGUGAACGGCCACACCGGGACUGAGACACGGCCCAGACUCCUACGGGAGGCAGCAGUAGGGAAUUUUCCGCAAUGGGCGAAAGCCUGACGGAGCAACGCCGCGUGAGGGAUGAAGGUUUUCGGAUCGUAAACCUCUGUCUAGAGGGACGAUAAUGACGGUACCUCUGGAGGAAGCCACGGCUAACUACGUGCCAGCAGCCGCAGUAAGAC